rnacentral:rRNA from 1 species
CACGUAGGGUGCGAGCGUUGUCCGGAAUUAUUGGGCGUAAAGAGCUCGUAGGCGGUGUGUCGCGUCGGCCGUGAAAACCUGCAGCUUAACUGUGGGCUUGCGGUCGAUACGGGCAUCACUGGAGUUCGGCAGGGGAGACUGGAAUUCCUGGUGUAGCGGUGAAAUGCGCAGAUAUCGGGAAGAACACCCGUGGCGAAGGCGGCUCUCUGGGACGGUACUGACGCUGAGGAGCGAAAGCGUGGGGAGCAAACAGG